ACUAUGUCGAAUAAAAUUCUAGGUAGAAUUAUGAUAAUGACAUUGUCUGCCUAUGUGUCUUGACCAAAUUACGUGCCAGCAGUCGCGGUAAUACGUAGAAGACUAGUGUUAUUCAUGUUUAAUCGGUUUAAAGGGUACCUAGACGGUAAAUCAAGCCUAGAGAAAAUAUAAAGGAAGGGACUAAUUUACUAGAGUUACUUAUGAGGGGGUUUUAAAGUACUACUGGUGUAGAGAUGAAAUUCUGUCAUACCAGCUAAAGACGGCACAGGUAUAGGCGAAGGCAUCUCCUUAUGUGAUAACUGACGUUGAGGGACGAAGGCUUUUACAGCGACCAGGAUUAGAUACCCCAGUAGUCUAAGCAGAAAAUGAUGAAUGUCAUAGAUUAGAUAAAUAAGUUUAUUCUAUAAAUGAAAGUGUAAGCAUUCCACCUCAAGAGUAAUUUGGCAACAUUGGAACUGAAAUCAUUAGACCGUUUCUGAAACCAGUAGUGAAGUAUGUUGUUUAAUUUGAUAGCCCUCAAAAAACCUUACCACAAUUUGAAUAUUUAUAUCUUUUAUUGCUUUUCUUCUUAUUUUUCUUCUUGAA
rnacentral:rRNA from 1 species